GAACAUAUUGUUGAUUAUGAUGAUGAUGUUGAUGAUGGUGGUUAUGGCUGUGGUUGUGAUGGUGUGGAUGGUGAUUUUGGACUUGGAUCACGUGAGGAACAGGUACAGGGCUAUGAAUCGGGACAUGAAACGGCGACGGAGGAGGAGGUGGAGGAUAGAUGUGGAUCGGCGGAGGCAUGACGGUUAGCCGAGGAGGUGGAGGAGGUGGUGGUGGUUGUUGUGGGCGCGCAGGAACAAAAGCAGGAGCCUGCGCGUUGAGUUUACUGAAGGAUACAUUACGAGAAAGUGAUGGAUCUGAAGAAGACGAGGAAGAGGAAGAUUGAGACUGAGAUUGAGAUUGAUCU
rnacentral:lncRNA from 1 species